rnacentral:rRNA from 1 species
UACGUAGGGACCAAGCGUUGUCCGGAAUCAUUGGGCGUAAAGAGCGUGUAGGCGGCUUGUUAAGUCUUGCGUGAAAUCUCGGGGCUCAACCCCGAGCGGUCGUGAGAAACUGGCAGGCUAGAGUGCGGGAGAGGAGAGUGGAAUUCCUGGUGUAGCGGUGAAAUGCGCAGAUAUCAGGAGGAACACCAAUAGCGAAGGCAGCUCGCUGGGACGUUACUGACACUAAGGCGCGAAAGCGUGGGAGCGAACAGG